rnacentral:rRNA from 1 species
GGCCUCAAAUCAGACAAGAGUACCCGCUGAACUUAAGCAUGUCAAUAAGCGGAGGAAAAGAAACUAACAAGGAUUCCCCUAGUAACGGCGAGUGAAGCGGGAACAGCUCAAAUUUUAAAUCUGGCUGCUUUGUAGUCCGAGUUGUAAUUUGAAGGAGUCUUGCCGCUGGCAAAACGAUGGCACAAGUCCUCUGGAACGGGGCAUCGUAGAGGGUGAGAAUCCCGUCUCUGGUCAUCACGCGCUGGCAUACGGCAGGCAUCCGAAGAGUCGAGUUGUUUGGGAUUGCAGCUCCAAAUGGGUGGUAAACUCCAUCUAAGGCUAAAUAUUGGCGAGAGACCGAUAGCGAACAAGUACCGUGAGGGAAAGGUGAAAAGAACUUUGAAAAGAGAGUAAAACAGUACGUGAAAUUGUUGAAAGGGAAACGAUUGAAG